GCCGAAGUGGUGGAACUGGCAGACGCGCUGGACUCAAAAUCCAGAGUUCUUCGGGACGUGCGGGUUCGAUUCCCGCCUUCGGCACCA
rnacentral:tRNA from 1 species